rnacentral:rRNA from 1 species
GUAUGGACGGGAUAAGUGCUGAAAGCAUCUAAGCAUGAAGCCCCCCUCAAGAUGAGAUUUCCCAACUUCGGUUAUAAGAUCCCUCAAAGAUGAUGAGGUUAAUAGGUUCGAGGUGGAAGCGUGGUGACACGUGGAGCUGACGAAUACUAAUCGAUCGAAGACUUAAUCAAAAUU